CCAGAUAUCCGGCCAACAGGUUCCCGUCCAAAUUAAACAUUAAUAGCUUGUUAACGUGUUUCGCUUGUUUUUUAUUUUGAAUGAAUGGCACGCUCUUUUUUCGUAUCAAUCACGUGGGCAAGGUCGCGCGAAUUCCAAGCCUCUCUUCUUGGUUCCAGGUUUUUUUCUGGAGCAAAACUUGUUUCUCGGAACAAGAAAAGUUUCUGGAAAAUGAGCAAGUUUGAUUUGAUCCAUGCACCCUCUUGAAGAACAGAGUUGAGAGGCAUCUGGAAAUGUCAAGAGUGCUGGAGGUUCGGGUAUUUGUUUGUUUCUCUCUUCUUUGCAAGAUCAAAUCCUCUGGCCAUGUUCAAAACCAUGAAAUUAAAUACUCACUCCCGAAAACACCAGAGGCACAUCCCUGAUUUGGUGCAACUGAUUAGACUCAGAACCUGA
rnacentral:lncRNA from 1 species